GUGUGUUUCAACAGUAUAUAUACUAAAAUUAGAAUGAUACAGAGAAGAUUAGCAUGAAGCCUUUUCAAGGAUGACAUGAAAAUUUGUAAAAAGUUCUGUAUUUUU
rfam:Otolemur garnettii contig018828, whole genome shotgun sequence.